rnacentral:misc_RNA from 1 species
AAAUAUCUCAAAAAGCUUACGCUUUGGCGUGGGAUUUUUGGACAUUGGAAGUUGCUGGCCACUGAUGAAAGGUGGUGGGCUCUUCUGAAAAACAUUAGUUGAGGGAGCCUCUUGCACUCCAUUGGUGUGAUAGACUAUCUAUGCCAGGAGAUGCUUUUAUGAACCCUCUGCUGUCUAACUGUCUUUAUUGGACAACAUUGAUAA